rnacentral:lncRNA from 1 species
UUAUUGCUGUAAUGAGUUAAGGCUUUGGGGGAGAUUGCUAGAAAGACAUGAUUGUAUUUUGCAAUGUGAAAGGACAUGAGAUGUGGAAGGAGCAAGGGGAAGAAGGAUGUGGUUCAGCUGUGUGUGCCCACCAAAAAUUUAUGUUCAAUUGUACCCUCCAGUGUUAAAGAACUUCUGCAACCAUCAGCUCUCCGUGUUGCUAAGAGUCAGCUCCAGCACAGAAUUGUCUUCUGUUAAAUGAAGCAGCAUGAGUGAACCCAGCUGAAACCACAGCAGAAACUGCCUUGGAAACUUGCAAAAUCAUGAGAAAUAGAAAUCAUUGUUUUAAGUAACUAAGUUUUGGGGUAUUCAGAUACACAUCAAAGGACUAAAGAAAGCAAUGAACAAUAAAGAG